AAUAUAUAGUUAAUGUGCCUCGAAGACUGGGAUAGCCACUGGAAACGGUGAUUAAUACUAGAUAGUCCUGCUAAACAUAGGUCUAGUUGGUAAACGUUUUUUCGCUUCGAGAUCAGACUAUAUCCCAUCAGCUUGUUGGUAGUGUAAGAGACUACCAAGGCAAUGACGGGUAGCGGGUUUGAGAGGAUGAUACGCCACACUGGUACUGAGACACGGACCAG
rnacentral:rRNA from 1 species